UACGACUAAAUCACCUUGAAACACCGGUUCCCGUACAAUCAGCGACGUUAAGCAACGUCGAGCUUAUUCAGUACCUAGAUGGGUGACCGCUUGGAAAUACUAUGUGCUAU